rnacentral:rRNA from 1 species
GUAGGGAAUAUUGGGCAAUGGAUGCAAGUCUGACCCAGCCAUCCCGCGUGCCGGAAGAAGGCCCUCAGGGUUGUAAACGGCUUUUGAUGGUGAAGAAUCGACAGGAUGCGUCCUGUUUUGACGGUAGCCGUUGAAUAAGCACCGGCUAACUCCGUGCCAGCAGCCGCGGUAAUACGGAGGGUGCGAGCGUUGUCCGGAUUUAUUGGGUUUAAAGGGUGCGUAGGCUGGAAGGUCAGUCAGCGGUGAAAAGCUGUCGCUUAACGAUAGUCUUGCCGCAGAUACUUCCUUUCUUGGAUGAGGAGGAGGCCACUGGAACGGAUGGUGUAGCGGUGAAAUGCAUAGAUAUCAUCCAGAACACCGAUUGCGAAGGCAGGUGGCUGUACCUUAAUCGACGCUGAUGCACGAAAGCAUGGGGAGCAAACAGGAUUAGAUACCCGUGUAGUCC